rnacentral:tRNA from 1 species
ACUUUUAAAGGAAAAUAGUCCUCCACUAAUUUUAGGCAUUAGCCCACCUUGGUGCAAAUCCAAGUAAAAGUA